rnacentral:rRNA from 1 species
GACGAACGCUGGCGGCGUGCUUAACACAUGCAAGUCGAACGGAAAGGCCCUGCUUUUGUGGGGUGCUCGAGUGGCGAACGGGUGAGUAACACGUGAGUAACCUGCCCUUGACUUUGGGAUAACUUCAGGAAACUGGGGCUAAUACCGGAUAGGAGCUCCUGCUGCAUGGUGGGGGUUGGAAAGUUUCGGCGGUUGGGGAUGGACUCGCGGCUUAUCAGCUUGUUGGUGGGGUAGUGGCUUACCAAGGCUUUGACGGAUAGCCGGCCUGAGAGGGUGACCGGCGACAUUGGGACUGAGAUAGGGCGCAGACUCCUACGGGAGGCAGCGGGGGGGAAUAUUGCACAAUGGGCGGAAGCCUGAUGCAGAAACGCCGCGUGCGGAAUGACGGCCUUCGGGUUGUAAACCGCUUUCGCCUGUGACGAAGCGUGAGUGACGGUAAUGGGUAAAGAAGCACCGGCUAACUACGUG